AGUGAACGCUGGCGGCGUGCUUAACACAUGCAAGUCGAACGAGAACGGAUUAUAGCUUGCUAUAAUUGUCAGCUAAGUGGCGCACGGGUGAGUAAUGUAUAGGUAAUAUGCCUCUUACUAAGGGAUAACAAAUGGAAACGUUUGCUAAUACCUUAUACUCCUUAUUAACAGAAGUUAAUAAGGGAAAGAUUUAUUGGUAAGAGAUUAGCCUGUAUUGUAUCAGUUAGUUGGUGGGGUAAUGGCUUACCAAGACUAUGACACAUAACUGGUUUGAGAGGAUGAUCAGUCACACUGGAACUGGGACACGGUCCAGACUCCUACGGGAGGCAGCAGUGGGGAAUAUUGUACAAUGGACGAAAGUCUGGUGCAGCAACGCCGCGUGGAGGAUGACACAUUUCGGUGCGUAAACUCCUUUUAUAUGAGAAGAUAAUGACGGUAUUAUAUGAAUAAGCACCGGCUAACUCCGUGCCAGCCGCCGCCGUAA
rnacentral:rRNA from 1 species